UACGUAGGGGGCAAGCGUUGUCCGGAAUCAUUGGGCGUAAAGAGCGUGUAGGCGGCUCGGUAAGUCCGCUGUGAAAGUCCAGGGCUCAACCCUGGAAUGCCGGUGGAAACUGUCGAGCUAGAGUCCGGAAGAGGCGAGUGGAAUUCCUGGUGUAGCGGUGAAAAUGCGCAGAUAUCAGGAAGAACACCAAUGGCGAAAAGCAGCUUUCUGGGACG
rnacentral:rRNA from 1 species